rnacentral:rRNA from 1 species
UACGGGGGGGGCAAGCGUUGUUCGGAAUUACUGGGCGUAAAGGGCUCGUAGGCGGCCAACUAAGUCGGAUGUGAAAUCCCCAGGCUCAACCUGGGAACGGCAUCCGAUACUGGAUGGCUUGAAUUCGGGAGAGGGAUGCAGAAUUCCAGGUGUAGCGGUGAAAUGCGCAGAUAUCAGGAGGAACACCGAUGGCGAAGGCAGGUCUCUGGGCCACUACUGACGCUGAGAAGCGAAAGCGUGGGGAGCGAACAGG